rnacentral:rRNA from 1 species
UACGUAGGGUGCAAGCGUUAAUCGGAAUUACUGGGCGUAAAGCGUGCGCAGGCGGUUGUGCAAGACCGAUGUGAAAUCCCCGGGCUUAACCUGGGGAAUGGCAUUGGUGACUGCACGGCUAGAGUGUGUCAGAGGGGGGUAGAAUUCCACGUGUAGCAGUGAAAUGCGUAGAGAUGUGGGAGGAAUACCGAUGGCGAAGGCAGCCCCCCUGGGAUAACACGUACGCUCA